UGGAGACUGGACCGGAGGUGGGGGAGAGUGUACUGGAGGGGGCGGAGAGUGGACAGGAGGCGGCGGAGAGUGUACCGGAGGGGGCGGAGAGUGGACCGGAGGCGGCGGAGAUUGGACCGGAGGUGGCGGAGAGUGGACAGGAGGCGGCGGAGAGUGGACUGGAGGCGGAGGUGAGCUGACAGGUGGUGGUGAAUGAACAGGUUCUGGUGGUGGAGACGAGGGAACUGGUGGUGGCAGCGGUGGAGAGGAAACAGGCUUUGGUGGUGGCGAGGCAACAGGUUUUGGUGGUGGCAGCGGCGGUGAGGAAACAGGUUUUGGUGGUGGUUUUGCGACCGCAGGUGGAGGAGAUGAGUCCGAUCCGCCGGUAGGUGGUGGAGCAGCAUUCACUGGCUUCUCAGG
rnacentral:lncRNA from 1 species